AUCUCUAAUCACAUCGAUGGAAAUUUUUAUCCUCAGGUAACCUUACAUGGCGAGUUGAAUCAAGUAAGCAACAGGUAUCAAAGAACCUUUGACCUCUCAUCCAAUUUCUCCUCUCACCCAAUUUCUAAAGUCGAUCUCUAUAUGUAACUUUCUUUGAUUAGGGUUUUUUUCGUUUCCUUUCAGAAACCCUAAAUUGGAACCAGGUGAACUCUCAUCCAGGGGAUGACGACUAUCCUACAGGUGGAUCACUAUGCUCAAAAGGUUCGCCCCGUUUUCUUUCCAUUUACUGUUCUCCUUGCAAACGUCAAAGAAGCAGUGAUUCAUGAUUUCUAUAUCUUGAAGAAGAAAAGAGUCCAUCUAUUGAAGUCCUUCCCGAUGAGAUUCUUUAUGAAAUCUUUAGGCGUUUGCCCGGUGGUCAAGCUCGAAGUGCAGAGAUGUGUGUCUCUAGCUGUUGACUCACUGUUCUGAGUAAUGUUAGAAACAGAGAUUGUUCAUGAACCAUCUAAUGACUCUGAAAUGGUUCAAGAAAAUGAUGCAUUUCUUACUAUAUGCUUAGAAGGAAAGAAAGCAACAAAUAUCUAUUUUUGACACGAUAAGGGAUAGAUAAAGAAUGAUUGCGGUUCAAGCAGUGUCUUCCAAAUGAGAUGGCUCACUACGCUGCAGGCUGUUGGGAUGCUGAAAUCGAGUCUUCUUAUGGAGGACUGGUUGGACCGAGUGUGUUGGGAUUGCUGACAUAUCCACAUAUGACCUGCGUGCACCCACUGACAAAAGUGGUGUAGCUCUUGUAGCCCAAGAGAUAUUUUGCAGAGUUAAAAGAAGUGGAUGAACUGGUUAUUAAACAUGUUAAGAAGGAACUUGGGCUUGCAUUGAAGGGUAGUCAAAAGAUGGUGGGGUUGAAGCACCGGAGGUUGAUUGGCUUAACAAGUUCAUCGAGUACAUGUGGCCUUGACAAGGCAAUAUGCAAGACUGCAAAGGAGAUUGCAAAGCCCAUUAUUGCUGAACAAAUUCCAAAGUUCAAAAUUGAUUCGGUUCAGUUUGAGCAUCUUACCUUAUGGUUGUUGCCUCCUACUUUUCAAGGUUACAUGGUUAAGAACUAAAAACCAGAACAGCUGGCCCAACCAUAACCUGUUCAUACGGUCUAUGUGUUGGUAUUAAGACUGGUCUGGUUGGUCCAACAAAAUAAAACUGGUCUAAACCAAGUGCUUGAGGCAUAGCAAGGAACCGAAACAAAUCAGUCGACCACAAGUGCCUUUCUCAUGCAGAUCCAACAAGUACAUUUCUGGCUCACUAAUGAAAAAGGGGACAAAGGAUUAUGGCAGUGUCGUGGAGUGUGUCACAGUGGAUGGCGAUAUGGUGUGGAUGGCGAUUAGUGAUUGGGUUAUUUCUUGCUUAACUGUUACUGAUGAGAUCGCUGGUUCGAUUCUGACCGGUGAUAUCGGUCCAUUUCAUGUCAGUUAGGUUCAAAUUUGCUGCCCGUUUUAAUUUUGUGCAGGUUCAAGUUCUGAACAUUGUGCAACAUGAUCUUGUGCAUAUAUGAAUUGGAGAAGAUGUAUGACAUAUGCAGUUUCAGUACAUUGGUUGCAGUUUCAAUCCGAAUUGGCCCAUUUUCACAUAAUAGCCACAUAGGAUUUAAAUCAUCUCCACGUUUAGAUAGAAGAUUCGUACUUUACCACCACACCAAGGGACAAGGUAGUUGGUAGCUUACGGGUGCUGUAUCUUUUUGUUGGACAAUCACCCAACAGAAGCAGGUAGAUUUCGUAGGGAAUCCAAACCGAGGUCCUAAACAAUGCCUUUGUCUCAUUGUAGUUUACUAAUUUAUUAUUACUUCAACGGUUAUUUAAUUCAAACGAUUACUUCAAUAAAUUAAACUUAUUCAUUUGUGUUUUA